CAGCCGCCGCGGGAAUACGAAGGGGGCUAGCGUUGUUCGGAAUUACUGGGCGUAAAGCGCACGUAGGCGGAUAUUUAAGUCAGGGGUGAAAUCCCGCAGCUCAACUGCGGAACUGCCUUUGAUACUGGGUAUCUUGAGUAUGGAAGAGGUUAGUGGAAUUGCGAGUGUAGAGGUGAAAUUCGUUGAUAUUCGCAGGAACACCAGUGGCGAAGGCGGCUAACUGGUCCAUAACUGACGCUGAGGUGCGAAAGCGUGGGGAGCAAACAGGAUUAGAUACCCGCGUAGUCCCUGUCUCUUAUAC
rnacentral:rRNA from 1 species